rnacentral:rRNA from 1 species
GACGUAGGGUGCGAGCGUUGUCCGGAUUUAUUGGGCGUAAAGAGCUCGUAGGCGGUCUGUCGCGUCUGCUGUGAAAACUCGGGGCUCAACCCCGAGCCUGCUUUCGAUACGGGCGGACUAGAGGUAGGUAGGGGAGAACGGAAUUCCUGGUGUAGCGGUGGAAUGCGCAGAUAUCAGGAGGAACACCGGUGGCGAAGGCGGUUCUCUGGGCCUUACCUGACGCUGAGGAGCGAAAGCGUGGGGAGCGAACAGG